CCUACGGGAGGCAGCAGUGGGGAAUUUUGGACAAUGGGCGAAAGCCUGAUCCAGCAAUGCCGUGUGGGGAAGAAGGCCUUCGGGUUGUAAACCUCUUUUGUACGGAACGAAAAGGUCUGCCCUAAUACGGUUGGGCUCAUGACGGUACCGUAAGAAUAAGCACCGGCUAACUACGUGCCAGCAGCCGCGGUAAU
rnacentral:rRNA from 1 species